GAAGUUGGAAUCCGCAUAAGGAGUGUGUAACAACUCACCUGCAGAAUCACACCGCCCCGAAAACGGAUGGCGCUCAAGCAGUUAUAUCCCGACACUUGGCCGUCCGCACACAUUUUUUAGCGGACGAGUAGAAGGUUCAGUUACGCGCGUGGAUACACUCGGCCCUUCUGAAGAUCCCCUCCCCUCUCGGGAGCACGUUUUUCUGGGCUUUUUCUUCUUAUCUUUUUAAGUUGAAAUUUUUUCGCUUUGAAGCGGUAACUCGUGAGAGACCGUUGAGCUGUCCACGGUGCAGAUCUUGGUACUAGUAGCAAGGAGUCUUACUGAAACGCAUUUAAAUUUUCCCCUUCUGGGGAAAUAUACACAACUGAGGAUGACCGAAGUGGAGAAAGGUUCCACGGUGCAGCUUCUUGCGACGUGGGUGAGUCAGUCCUAAGCUCGCCUGUCUAACCUUUCGACAGCGCAGCAAACGGGAAGCUGGUUAAGAUUCCAGCGCCAGC
rnacentral:rRNA from 1 species